CUCUUCUCGGGACCCUGGCCCCAGUUCAUUAACUUCCUAAUUGUUCAGGCACCUACUUCCUCUGCCAGCUCAUUCCUUUUCCCCACUGUGUGAAAACGUUAUCCCUCAGGUUUCUACCUUUGCCCUCUCAACUUAAACCUAUGCCCCCUUGUUCUUUAUUCCCCUACUCAGGAAAAAAAACUUUGUGCUCUCACCCUACGUAUUCCUCUAAUGAUUUUAUACACCUCUAUAAGAUCAACUAUCAGCCUCAUCUGUUCCUGAUCCAUUUGCCCCAUUACGGCUUUGGAGAGGGUGCAUCGGGGGUUGCCAGAAUGAUGCCUGGUUAGGAGGUGUUAUUAGCUACACGGAGAGGUUGGACAGGCAUGGAUUGUAUUCUCUAUAACACCAGAGGUUGAGGGGAGACCUGAAAGAAGUAUAUAAAAUUAUGAAAGGCAUAGAUAGGGUAGACCGUUAGAGCUUGUUUCCCAGACUGGAAAUAUCAAAUAUACGAGGGCAUCGCGUUACGGUGAGAGGGCAAACUUUAAAGGAGAUUUGCAGAGAUUGUGUUUUUUUUACAGAGGGUGAUGAGUGCCUGGGGUGGUUGUGGAGGCAGUUACAAUAGUGGUGUUUGAGAGACUUUUGGAUAGGCACGUAGAUAUGCAGGGAGUGGAGGGAUAUGGAUUAUGUGCAGAUAGAUAAGUGAUGGCCUUGGCAUCAUGUUUGGCACAGACAUUGUGGGCCGAAGGACCAGUUCCCAUGGUGUAUUCUUGUAGGUUUUAUGUUCUAUGAAUAAAGCCUUCCCAAUCUCUCCUCAUAGUUCAGGCCUUUGAGACCUGGCACCAUCUUGGUAAACCUUUCCAGCUUAAGGGCAUCUUUCCUAUAGCAGGGUGACCAUCUGCACUCUUGUGGGUCUACUUUAGGUUAUGCUUCUGUUGCCUUUAAAUCUGAUAAUUUCAAUACUCCCUUAACCUUUUUCCCCUACUCUAAGCCCUAGUCACACUGGCUCCCAGUGCAGCAAAAUUGCAUCCUAAUAUUUAUUUUCCAUGUUUUCUGACUCUCCAUGGUCUCUGUCCUCCAUGAUCUUUUCCAGCCAUGUCGUCCUUUGAGGUCUCUGCAUUACACCAUAUCCGGCCUUUGUUUCCUGUUUCCAAUCACUCCACCACUGGCAACCAUGCCUUCAGCUGCCUGGGCUCUAAGCUCUGUAGUCUCCUCUCUCUCUCUCUCUCUCUCUCUCUCUCUCUUUCUCUUCUACUGCAAGAUGCUUCUUAAACCCUAAGUCUUCUUUGGAAUUGAGGGUUGUUGGCCAACGUUGCCGUUCUUCCAGGGUACCGCCAGUGGUGGAGCAAACCCUCUUGGAAAUCAGCGGCGUCAGAGUCCGUAGGAUUUUGAAGUCAUUCACAAAGAACGAGUAAUCCUCGGUAGGUGUUGAGGUGAUAUCAUCGAGUUCCUGUUUAUCUGCAUUCUUGAUCCCUGGAGAAGUGAACAUUGAACCGUUAGCCUCAUCACCAGCACCAGUGCCAAAAAUUGCUCCUCAUUUCCAAAGCAUGAACAUCACCCAAGCAAAUGGACAGAGGACGUACCGACUGCAAACAACUUCACAUCUUGGUUCCGUAACUUCAAGGCUGGUUGGUUCACGUUAUCUUGAGACUUUCCAUCGGUUAUCAGGAUAGUGAUCUAAAUGAAGAAUGAUUUCAAAAAAGGUCAUGUUUAAAGAUACUUUUCACCUAUG